UUCCCCAUCUCCACUUUAGGGACAGUAUACCAAGCCUGAGGUUGUGAACAUCAAAGAGAACUGGUCUGUGUCGCCACCACUAUCAACUCUGAGCAUCCCCAUGACCUAGGACCUAUUCUUUCUGUCACCACCUGGGCCCACUUCAUGGGAGGAAGCACAUGCCUGGCACUGCAAAUGUGGUAAAGAACCCAUGGUUGGGGAUCUCUGAGGUCCCAGGGGCAAAACUACUACCGUUAUUGUGUUCCAAGCAUCUCAGAACAUGUUGACAGAAUGGAUGAAUAAAGCGGCUGGCUGGCUACUGUACCUGUCUAGGCAGGAAACACUUUCUGUAUCAGCGGACUUUUGUGACACUGCACAUCUUCAUUCAGGCCCAGCAGAGAUGCGAAAACUAGAAGAAGGCAGUUUGCAUCUUUCUUUCCACACCACCAAAUAGGGAGAAGAUGACCAUCUAUGAAUCUGGAAACAGGUCCCUUACCAGACACUGAACCUGCCUGGUGCCUUGAUCUUGAGCCUCCAAGCUUCACAACUAUGGUUAUUGUGAUGAUUGCUUGGAGUACCAUACAGCUCACUCCUGGGGCAUGAGGACCUACUCCUAGGACACAGGCUCGCACUCUGCUAAAGUAACCCACUUUCUUGUUCCUGGAGAACUCUUGAGCAUGCAUUUAUUCUCAGUACAACUCUUAGUACAUGCUGGACCCUUGUGAAGGAUUCACCAAAAGCCUGAGAGAAUGUCCCAGUCAAAUCCAGUCCCUCUGGGUUAUCUAUUGAUCCUGUCACAUGAGAAAGAGUAUGGAUUCCAGAGGAGGAAGAAUAGGACCUUUUUGUGCUCCUUUCCUUCUGGGUCUUGAAGCUCACCUUGACUAAGGCCAGACAAGAAGGAGUGGACAGGCAUCCCCAGGACAGCACACUUUUCAAAUGCUCCCUGGACAAAGAACAAUGGAAGCAAAGGUGGCGUUAAGGCAGGCGGAUCUCUGUGAGUUUGAGACCAGCCUGUACUACCAAGCGAGUUCCAGGACAGCCUCCAAAGCCACUGAGAAACCCUGUCUCGAAAAAAACCAAAAAAAAAAAAAAAAAAGCUGUCUCAGCACUUGAUUACCAUCAUCAUGUUUAUGGAGCGAGAUUUCCUACUGCUUUCUAACUGUAAGACUUCCACACUCAUUGUGUGACUGCAAUGUCUAUUUAGCAAGCUUCCAGAGACUUCCACAAUCCUGCGUCCACUAGGCCUAUUGUGCCAAUGUAUGUCAUUUAGAACUUUGCACAGUGUCAAUUUGCACUUUGAUCUUCUGUUUCCAUUUAGGUAUCUGUAGCUCUUGGGUUUUUUCAGUCUUCUUGAAGAUGACUUUUGAACUCCUUGCUGACUUGUGUUCUUUGUUGAGUUCCCUCAAAUUUUUGUCCUGUUUUCUCUUCAUCCCUCACCUCCCCCCUUCCAAUUUGUACAUUGAACAUCUCAUCUGUGGUCUCAAUUGUGGCCAGUAUAAGGAUAACCCCAAAUCUAACAUUCAACUCAAGAAAUACUUCCUAGUUUUUUGGAGCUCAGUCCUUUGGAACUUGGAAAGAAACACGUUCCAAGCCACACUUGGACAAAGUAACAAAGGGCCCUGAGUUGAUGUAAGAUGCAAACAUUAGUUGGUGUGAGAGGUAGCGUGGGAGGCCACAGGAGAAACUGAACUAAAACGUAAGUUACUGACUUGUGUUCUUCCUCUCUCCAAUUCAUGUGUAGGAACCAAACCCCUUUAGGCAGUGGCAUUAUGAACUGGGUGCUUUGGUAUAUGCUAGGAUUGGAUGCAACCAUGAGGGAAUCCCUCCUUUCUGCAAGCUCUAUUCCCAGCCCUUAUGACUUUUAGAAACAGCAGCCUGUGUUAAGAUGAGGAAACAAUCAA